UGAUGUGCUUCCUACCUGUGAAGAAGGAUUGGGGGUUGAAAAAGCCUGCUACCCAGAUGAGGAGGCGAGGGAGGGAGCCCUGCGGCCCGUGCUGCUCUCUCACCCAGGCAGGGAAGGAUCAGUGUACCCAGACCACAAAAGCAAACAAGAAAAAAGACUGAGGACACACAACCAGGGGGAUUCCUGGAGCCGUCGGAGCAGGAUCAAGAUUAGAGCAUUCUUUUCCCCAAAGGAGGAAAGUCUUCUGCAAGAACUGCAAAUCAAACAUUUGUACUCAGAGCCCUCGCAGAAGUCAAAUACUUCGAUGUUUAGAGUCUGUGGAGUCAGCUCUGCGUGACCCGUGACCUCUAUUUCUCCACACUCAAGAGCAGCAUGUUAUUCUGGAUAUGAGUCAUUGUCAUUGGGAGUGGAGUGUACAUCAUUGGUAUUCCUGCUAGGUAUGACACAGCUUUUUCCCACCUAUACUUCCAGAAGAUCACAAGCUCUUAUUUUCUGAGAAUUUUCAUCUGGAGGCAAAGCAUUCACCAGUGGGUUGACUGAGCUUUGUAACCAAAAUGGCUGAACAAAUGAGAUGUGGGAAUUCUAAACUGGCUUAUCACUUCAAAAUGCAUAAGCCAGGGAGUGCUGGGGAGGGGAGAAGAGGGAAGAAGCAGGAAGAGAGCAGACACAGGGUGGAGACUCACCAGUCCUGCCAGGUGGGGCUUUGUCUGGUCCGGACUGUCUCUGGUACGAGAGGGCACAUGCACAUUCUCACGCAGCUCCACUCUCCCUGGCCUUCAAGCCUGCUGCCCCCGAGCUCCUUUUACAGUGCCUGGUCUGAGUGUGGCUGAAAGAGCCAUCUGCAGAGCCUGCUCCAUGCACAUGGUCAGCUCUUUGUGGAAGCUGCUUACUGGGGGGACUUUAGAACUCAGCCUUUUUGUCCCACGGACCGCAUACUUCUGUGGGUUUUUUCCCCCUAAAUUGAACCACUCCUGUCCCUAAUUGUGUCACUCCUGCUGUCACCUCUAGCCAUCAGAGCCAGUGGCAUGGUUCUGAUUGUGUUGCAAUGCGUCCUUGAAGCAUUCUUUUUGUUUGUGUUCAAUGGCUCUCCUUCAGCUCACAACACAGUGGUGGCAAUGAUUUCCUAGGGUCACCCAUUCUCCUCUGAGGACCAGCCCAGAAAAGCUCAGUCGUAAUGAACAGGGCUUCAGACGGAUGGACACACACGGGCUUGAGAGCGCUCCUGGCUUUGGCCACUCUAACAAGAUUUUGUCAUUUGUGGCUUUUGCACAUUGGAAAAACUUUCAUCUCUGAGUUUCUAUGGGCUAUAAAUACUUGGUAGGUUAAAAAGGAAUCAUUCAGAACAUGAAAUAAACAUAACCUGGCACGUACACAGCAACACACCUCAACGGAGCCCUUCAACUUCUAGGCCAGAGCUGCAGGAAUCGGAGCCGGGGCUUCCUUCAUCCCGUCUCGCAUUCACUUCCCUCCCGGGCUGGGCACUGCUCUGGUUUCUGACCUCUUUUGGUUGGAUAUUUUCCUAAUGAGGCAGGAGGAUGAGGUCUCCAUGUUCCUUAUGCCUUUUAACCACAGAGUGAAAACUGUUGAUUUUGUUGGCAUUGGGGAAAAUCUUUAGAAUGUAUGGAAAACAUGUUAUGGAUAUUAUAUAUCUACCAUAAACCAAGAAAAGAGUCUGGCAGAGGGAAAUUCUAUGUUGAUUCUGAAAAGUCACCAUGAUCCUGGUCUUCAUGGCUUUAUUUUUUUUCUGAACAAUUGCUUUAUUCUUUUUUUCAGAAUAUAAAAGAAAGACUAAGAAAAAGAAAAACCAAUCAUGUUUUUCAAAGAUAGCAUUCUUAACAUCUUGGUCCUGUGCUUUUUUUAAAAAAAAAAUUGAGGUACAUGUACAUAAAGAAAGAUGCAUAAAUCAUAAGUGAACAUCUCAACAUUUUAGAAAUCCUAAAAAUUAUGUAUACCCAUGUCACCACCACCUAGAUCAAAACAUUUCGUGUACUCUAGCAAACUCUGUUGUGUCCGUUCUUAGAAAUAUCCACUCAGAAGUCUCUCCACCAUGGCCUGCCAUGGUGGCUUAUGCCCAUAAUCCUAGCACUUUGGGAGGCUGAGGCGAGAGGAUCACUUGAGCUUAGGAGUUCGAGACCAGGCUGGGAAACAUAGUGAAAUGUUUCUACCAAAAAUACAAAAAUUAGCCAGAUGUGGUGAUGCUUGCCUGUCAUCCCAGCUACUCAGGAGGCUGAGGUGCAGGGAUGGCUGGAGCCUGGGAGGUUGAGGCUGCAGUGAGCUGAAAUUGUGCCACUGCACUCCAGCCUGGGCAACAUAGCGAGACCCUGUUUCAAACAAACAAACAAGCAAACAAACAAAAAAGCAGAAACAACAAGAACAACAAAAGAAGUCUCUCCCCUAGAGGGAAUCACGUUCUGAUUUCAGGCUUAUCCUUUCGUCACCGGUCGAGGGUGUCCGGGUUCUUGGCGUCUUGAACAAAGAGUUGAACAAAUCACACAAAGCAAGGAAGGAAUGAAGAGGUUUACUGAAAAUGAAAAUACACUCCACAGUGUGUGGAGCGGACCCAAGCCUAGGGGCUCAAGGGCCCCGUUACAGAAUUUUGGGGAGUUUAAAUACCCUCUAGAGGAUUCCAUUGGCUACUUGGGGUACACCCUAUGUAAAUGAGGAGGAUGAAGUAAAGUUACAAAGUUGUUUAUUAUGGAGAGGAUAUUUGCUGUCAUAGCUGAAGGGUGAAUCAGCCUUAUGUUCCCUGCCUCCAGACCCUGUUUUCAUGCCUCACUUAUAUAUAUAUAUAGCUAUAUAUAAUAUUUGCAUACAUUGUUCUCUCUAUAUUUAACUUUUAUACUUUAUUUUAUGUAUAUCACACAUUUCAACAAAAACGGAUCA